rnacentral:lncRNA from 1 species
AGGUUUUUCUGUUUGACUUUAACGAGAAGCAGGAGCUUACUGAAAGACCCAGGCAGUGUUUGCCGUAUGCUGUAGUUUCAUUUGUUCCUGCCAGCAGUGCCAUUCUGACUGUGCCUACAAACCUACCACUCUCAGCUUCAGCGCUACCUAUUGGCCAAGUGCAUGAGCGUAAAGGCUGGCAAGGAUGUGGCUUAUAAAAUGGCUAAAAGGAGGGCAUCUCUUUCACCCCGAACACAAUGUAAUGCUGUGAACGCCCUUUUCCAAACAACUUCUGCAACCCAUGUUGAGAACCCGACCCCUUACUACACUCUUCCUCACAGAGUGGAUCCAGAGCAUUGGGGAAUGGUUGGAAGCACUGCUGCAGACUGGAACGCCUCUGACUUAGUCCCACCUUCACCUUCGACGUCUCAUGCACACUCUGAAAGAAAUUAUCUUCAUCUGUCUAAUAUACGAGCGACUUUAUCACAUUCUGAUGAGAGGAGAUCUAUAGCAGACAUACAAAGACCUCAACAGCCUUCAGUCUCGGCUCCCCAAGCAACUUUACGAGAAGAUUCUUGUGUUACACGUCAAGCAUUUGACAGUGUUAAAUAUCAACAAACUAACACUGCGCCACAUUGUCCUGUGCUCUCACAAGAACAGUUAAACCAGUUCAGUUUAGCCAUGACACAACCUUAUAGUUUGCCAAAUUGCCAUUUGAAUGCAAAUUUGAUACCUCCUCCUCUCUCAGUUCAGGCUUUGACACAUGUCCCUAUGCCCAGCACGAUUACAGCAAUUCAUUACCCAUACUUCCUUCUGAAUGGACAAACAUACACCACAGGCUCCACUGCAGCCAUUCACCCUGAUACUAGAUAUUAUCCUAACACCAUUUAGGGCUAAUGUACUACGAGCUUCGAUUGAAUCAGAGAUAUGUAUUUUUGUAAGUCGGUUAUAUUUACAGGUAAAUUACAUCAAAUAACUUGUUCAGGGGUGGCCAGCGUCAGUUCUGGAGAGCCACAGUCCUGCAGAGUUUUGCUCCAACCUUGAUAAAACCAAACCUGUGUGUUGGUUUCUAGUAAACCUUAGAUCUUGAUUAGCUUGUCCAGGUGUGUUUGAUUAGGGUUGGAGCUGAUCGAAAGC